GAUGAACGCUGGCGGCGUGCCUAAUACAUGCAAGUCGGGCGAACGGACGAGAAGCUUGCUUCUCUGAUGUUAGCGGCGGACGGGUGAGUAACACGUGGAUAACCUACCUAUAAGACUGGGAUAACUUCGGGAAACCGUAGCUAAUACCGGAUAAUAUUUUGAACCGCAUGGUUCAAAAGUGAAAGACGGUCUUGCUGUCACUUAUAGAUGGAUCCGCGCUGCAUUAGCUAGUUGGUAAGGUAACGGCUUACCAAGGCAACGAUGCAUAGCCGACCUGAGAGGGUGAUCGGCCACACGGGAACUGGGACAGGGUCCAGAGUCCUACGGGAGGCAGCAGUAGGGAAUCUUACGCAGUGGGCGAAAGCCUGACGGAGCAACGCCGCGUGAGUGAUGAAGGUCUUCGGAUCGUAAAACUCUGUUAUUAGGGAAGAACAUAUGUGUAAGUAACUGUGCACAUCUUGACGGUACCUAAUCAGAAAGCCACGGCUAACUACGUG
rnacentral:rRNA from 1 species